rnacentral:rRNA from 1 species
AUUGAACGCUGGCGGCAGGCUUAACACAUGCAAGUCGAGCGGAGAGAGGUAGCUUGCUACUGAUCUUAGCGGCGGACGGGUGAGUAAUGCUUAGGAAUCUGCCUAUUAGUGGGGGACAACAUUUCGAAAGGAAUGCUAAUACCGCAUACGUCCUACGGGAGAAAGCAGGGGAUCUUCGGACCUUGCGCUAAUAGAUGAGCCUAAGUCGGAUGAGCUAGUGGGUGGGGUAAAGGCCUACCAAGGCGACGAUCUGUAGCGGGUCUGGGAGGAUGAUCCGCCACACUGGGACUGAGACACGGCCCAGACUCCUACGGGAGGCAGCAGUGGGGAAUAUUGGACAAUGGGCGCAAGCCUGAUCCAGCCAUGCCGCGUGUGUGAAGAAGGCCUUAUGGUUGUAAAGCACUUUAAGCGAGGAGGAGGCUACUUUAGUUAAUACCUAGAGAUAGUGGACGUUACUCGCAGAAUAAGCACCGGCUAACUCUGUGCCAGCCGCCGCAGUAAGAC